AUUAAGCCAUGCAUGUGUAAGUAUUAAUGAGAUUUUAAUAGUGAAACUGCGAAUGGCUCAAUAAAACAGUUAUAGUUUAUUCGAUGAUAUUAAAAGUUUAUUUGGAAUAACCGCAGUAAUUCUGGGGCUAAUACAUGCUUAAAGGAAUAUUCAUUUAAAAAGGAUAUUUUACCUGUAUUUAUUAGACUUGAAAAUUGGUAAUGUAGUAAUACAUUUCUUAAAAGGUUGAACCAUAAUAACUAUGUUGUAACAAACAUAAAACGAAUCGUAUUUAACCCUUCGAGGUUGACGAUGAAUCGUUCAAGUUUCUGACCUAUCAAUUCAAGAAGGUAGUGUAUUGGACCACCUUGAUUGUAACGGGUACGGAGAAUUAGGGUUCGAUUCCGGAGAGGGAGCCUGAGAAACGGCUACCACUUCCAAGGAAGGCAGC
rnacentral:rRNA from 1 species